AUUGAACGCUGGCGGCAUGCCUUACACAUGCAAGUCGAACGGCAGCACGGGUGCUUGCACCUGGUGGCGAGUGGCGAACGGGUGAGUAAUACAUCGGAACAUGUCCUGUAGUGGGGGAUAGCCCGGCGAAAGCCGGAUUAAUACCGCAUACGAUCUACGGAUGAAAGCGGGGGACCUUCGGGCCUCGCGCUAUAGGGUUGGCCGAUGGCUGAUUAGCUAGUUGGUGGGGUAAAGGCCUACCAAGGCGACGAUCAGUAGCUGGUCUGAGAGGACGACCAGCCACACUGGGACUGAGACACGGCCCAGACUCCUACGGGAGGCAGCAGUGGGGAAUUUUGGACAAAGGGCGAAAGCCUGAUCCAGCAAUGCCGCGUGUGUGAAGAAGGCAUUCGGGUUGUAAAGCACUUUUGUCCGGAAAGAAAUCCUUGGCCCUAAUACGGUCGGGGGAUGACGGUACCGGAAGAAUAAGCACCGGCUAACUACGUG
rnacentral:rRNA from 1 species